rnacentral:rRNA from 1 species
GACGAACGCUGGCGGCGUGCUUAACACAUGCGAGUCGAACGAUGAAAUGGAGCUUGCUCCAGGGAUUAGUGGCGAACGGGUGAGUAACACGUGAGUAACCUGCCCUUGACUCUGGGAUAAGCGCUAGAAAUGGCGUCUAAUACCGGAGAAGAGCUUCAGCCGCCUGGCUAGGAGUUGGAAAGAAUUUUGGUCAAGGAGGGACUCGCGGCCUAUCAGCUAGUGGGUGAGGUAAUGGCUCACCAAGGCGACGGGGGGUAGCCGGCCUGAGAGGGUGACCGGCCACACUGGGACUGAGACACGGCCCAGACUCCUACGGGAGGAAGCAGUGGGGAAUAUUGCACAAUGGGCGAAAGCCUGAUGCAGCAACGCCGCGUGAGGGAUGACGGCCUUCGGGUUGUAAACCUCUUUUAGUAGGGAAGAAGCGAAAGUGACGGUACCUGCAGAAAAAGCACCGGCUAACUACGUGCCAGCCGCCGCCGUAA